UUUUAUAUGAGUCUGGCUAUUAUGCUAUCAAUAGCACCAAGCACUUGGUGCUACCAAGUUCUUCGCUAUUAGAUCUACCCGCUUGAUCAUUUUCAUCCAUUAGAUCAUACUAUUAAACCAACCACUCACUUAACCCUUAGGGCCCGUUUGGUUCGAGUUAUGUAAUAUUAUAAAGUAUCUCGACAUAUCCAGGUAUUUUGGAUUUCGGCGUGAGAUUACUACUGAUGCUGCAUUAGCGCGUUUGGUUUAAUGCAGUAAUGUAAUACUAGAUUACAGUAUUUAUAGCAUUAAUACGUUUGGUUCAGUUUAUAAAAUUUAGUAAUCCUGACAUAAAAGUAUAGUUUUUUCAAAAUUGCCCUUGUUGUGGUCAUUUGAAUCUUAUUUUUUGUGGAAAUGACGAAUGGAGGGAAGGAGAUCGUGAUGAUUACCUAGGAGGACGACGCAAUAGAAAAUGAUAGGUGUUCGUGCGAGAGAGUGAAAGAGAGAGAGAGAGAGAGAGAGACACGUCGAGAGAGAGAGAGAGAGCGAGAGAAAGCGGCGUGCGAAAGAGAGGGGUAAGGCGAGAGAGAGAUGAAAAUAAUGAUGUUAAUUAGAUUUGGGGUUGUUGGAGGAUAAAAUUAUCAUUUUACAUAAUAUGUAGUAUUAACGGGUUUCAGUAAUGCAAGAUACACGACCACCCUUCCGUUAAUAUUUUCGAUGUAAUCCUAUUCGAUUUGUAAUGCUACAUUAACGACUAGAUUACAUAGCGGAUAAACCAAACAUAGUUAUCCUGGCAGGAUUGCCUGUAAUCCUGCCAGGAUAACUCGAACCAAACGCACCCUUAAAGGAUUAUUAUCAUCCUAACCAUGCAUCCCCUCAUCUAAGUACCAAAAACCAAAUAGC
rnacentral:lncRNA from 1 species